ACAGAAGCAGAUUGCUUCCACGAAGCGCAGAAAUGUAAUUUGCCAGUACUUAAGUUACAAUAUUAAAUACUAACAUGAAACUCCUUCCCCUUUUCAAUUCUUUAUAGCGAAAAAUACUUGGUGUGAAAUCUUGUUUCUACAAGGGUCAAUGAUAAAAUCUGCAUCAGUGACAGAGCAGCUUCUGCCCUUCCCAUGAGCAUGAAACUCACAUGUGAAAUGUGUUCAUCCUUGGUUUUGUCUAGCUGGAGAAGAGUCAACAAACCAGGAUGCACAAGAAAGAAAAGUAUCUGGAAGAGCAGAAGAGAACUGCAAGAUCUCAAGCCAUAACUGAGUCUCCUCAGCCUGCUAACAUGAGAGACCAAGGCAUUUGUGCCCUUCACUUUUGCUGCUUGUAACCAGGAGAAGGGAGAGAAUUGGUUUGUUUUUUUAACUUGAAAACCAAAGCUGAAGAUGAUGCACCAGACCAUACAGAACUGUCUGAGGGCUGCUUUGGUUUGGAGCAGUUCACCUCGCUGGUCCCUUGGGAAAGCUGCACUUCCUUCAAGUGGCUCUGCUCUUCUGCCUGCCACAGCAGGAGCACCAUGGAGACAUUCAUUUGUCAUUUUUUUUCCCCCCAGAAAUUCACUGCAUUGUUGAAAGUUUCUGGCCAUUAGGGAGGUCCAGAUCCAUAUGGGAGUUCUGGAAAAUUUUUGAGGUUCAGCUGUGAAUCCACCCUUGCCACCAGCAAAGGUGCUCUUGGUGCCAUUGGAGCCAAGAAGCAAUGCCUGAGCAAGGAGGAGUGGAGUGCAUGUGUAAGUCCCAGCCUGAAGCUCUGCUUUCCUUCAUUUCUAAUUGGCUGCUGCCUUCUUUUAAGACUGGUAACCUUAGAUCAGAGGGAAAAAGAGGAUUACUUUUAAGCAUGAUGAAAUUUAACUUGUAAUUGCUGUUUCCACAGCAGCCAAUUGAGAGGUAAGAGCAUAGCUUUACCAGGCAGCUUCUAAUCUCUAGGAUUUACAGAUGCUGAAAAUGAGCAGGAAAUCAGGACAGCAGUGACCUACCUGGAGUGCAAAUGCAACAACACUCACAGAUAUCCAUGCUAAAGACACAACAUUCAUAGCAAAUUUUAUCUCUCCUGUGCAACUUUGAAAAAUUUCAUGGUUUGAUGAUUGUGCCAGGUUUCACCUAGUAUUCAUCAGAUGCUGCAUUGUAUUUAAUGUCAGUUUUGGUAUCCCCCUGCUUGAUACAGGGUGCCACAAUAUAUUCCAUUGCUGGUAAGUUCCAACAGGGAGGCAGUAACUUAGGCAUUGACUGCUUCCCCUGACAUUUCAUGUUCCUGUAAAAUCAGCUACUUAGAAAAAAAAGCACAGCAUUAAUUUAGCUUACUCCUUCCCAUGAAACUGCUAAGACAAUCCCUGUAAAAAGCAGCACUUCUUCAGAUGUCCAGUGCCUAUGGGGUGUGCUACAAAGCAUGUUUUGAGAGCCAGCACUGACUUGCAUGAAGCCCCUCUAUGGUGGCUGGCUACAUUUCCUCAAUUCUAAGAAACAAUUUGGUUUUCCUGCACCACACAAGGUAGGCAGAAAGUGUGCAGUAUGUGUAUGGCACCUUUUGAAAGCCUGCCCUCACACAAAAUGUGCCAUGGGAGAGCUGACUCCCUGUGCCAUUUUCUCCUUGGAAGCAGCAAACGCUCCCAGCCCUGAGCACAGGUGCUGGUGCUGCUCUCCCCUGAACUUGUUUUCCUGCCUGCUCUCUGCCAGCAAUGCAGGUACAGCACACUGCCUGCUCAAGGCCAGGUCUGAAAUGUGUGUGUGCUGGCCAAGACUAUAGACUCAGAGCUGCUCUGGUGCAAGUGUAAGGUUUUCUGUCCUAGAGCAUUGGUAAUGGUAAUCAAAUUACAUGUAUUUCUCAGAGUGAUCACUGAGGAAAUCUUAAAAACCAUACCACACAUAGAAUGUUCUGAAAAAAGUGUUUGUUAUUGUCAUUCUGUUCACCAACUGCUUUUCUGGAUUUGUGUAAUCAACAAAUAUCUAAAUGAAGUAUUGGCAAUCUUUUCUGUGUAAUCCAAAAAAAAAACCAUGAAAGAGGAAGUUAUACAAGUAGCUUUAGACAAUGUCUCUUUCAUGAUAUCAGGGAAUUCUUUUUGUUUUACUUUAGACAUAUUUUGAGAUUUCUUUUAUUGACUGUUUGUUUUCUAUAGAAGACUCCUAGCCCACUAGGGAGAGUUUCGCCUUUUCUCUAGAA